rnacentral:rRNA from 1 species
GACGAACGCUGGCGGCGUGCUUAACACAUGCAAGUCGAACGGAAAGGCCCUGCUUUUGUGGGGUGCUCGAGUGGCGAACGGGUGAGUAACACGUGAGUAACCUGCCCUUGACUUUGGGAUAACUUCAGGAAACUGGGGCUAAUACCGGAUAGGAGCUCCUGCUGCAUGGUGGGGGUUGGAAAGUUUCGGCGGUUGGGGAUGGACUCGCGGCUUAUCAGCUUGUUGGUGGGGUAGUGGCUUACCAAGGCUUUGACGGGUAGCCGGUCUGAGAGGGCGACCGGCCACAUUGGGACUGAGAUACGGCCCAGACUCCUACGGGAGGCAGCAGUGGGGAAUAUUGCACAAUGGGCGGAAGCCUGAUGCAGCAACGCCGCGUGCGGGAUGACGGCCUUCGGGUUGUAAACCGCUUUCGCCUGUGACGAAGCGUGAGUGACGGUAAUGGGUAAAGAAGCACCGGCUAACUACGUG